GCAGAACGCGAAGAACCUUACCUGGGCUAGAAAGCGUAAGAACCUUGGUGAAAACUGAGGGUGUCCUUCGGGGAACUUACGAUUAGGUGCUGCAUGGCUGUCGUCAGCUCGUGUCGUGAGAUGUUGGGUUAAGUCCCGCAACGAGCGCAACCCUUGUUGUUAGUUGCCAGCAUUAAGUUGGGCACUCUAACAAGACUGCCGACCUUUAAGUCGGAGGAAGGUGGGGAUGACGUCAAGUCCUCAUGGCCCUUACGUCCAGGGCUACACACGUGCUACAAUGACCGGUACAAAGGGUUGCCAAACCGCGAGGUGGAGCCAAUCCCAAAAAGCCGGCCUCAGUACGGAUAAGAGUCUGCAACUCGACUCUUUGAAGGCGGAAUCGCUAGUAAUCUCUGAUCAGCAUAGCAGGGGUGAAUACGUUCCCGGGUCUUGUACACACCG
rnacentral:rRNA from 1 species